GGGGAAUUUUCCGCAAUGGGCGAAAGCCUGACGGAGCAAUACCGCGUGAGGGAGGAAGGCUCUUGGGUUGUAAACCUCUUUUCUCAGGGAAUAAGAACUGAAGGUACCUGAGGAAUCAGCAUCGGCUAACUCCGUGCCAGCAGCCGCGGUAAUACGGAGGAUGCAAGCGUUAUCCGGAAUGAUUGGGCGUAAAGCGUCCGCAGGUGGUUUAUCAAGUCUGCUGUCAAAGAGUUUGGCUCAACCAAAUAAAGGCAGUGGAAACUGACAGACUGGAGUGCGGUAAGGGCAGAGGGAAUUCCUGGUGUAGCGGUGAAAUGCGUAGAGAUCAAGAAGAACACCGGUGGCGAAAGCGCUCUGCUGGGCCGUAACUGACACUGAGGGACGAAAGCUAGGGGAGCGAAUGGGAUUAGAUACCCCAGNUAGUC
rnacentral:rRNA from 1 species